UACGGAGGGUGCAAGCGUUAUCCGGAAUCAUUGGGUUUAAAGGGUCCGCAGGCGGGCAUAUAAGUCAGUGGUGAAAUCCCAUCGCUUAACGAUGGAACUGCCAUUGAUACUGUAUGCCUUGAAUUCGGUCGAAGUGGGCGGAAUAUGACAUGUAGCGGUGAAAUGCUUAGAUAUGUCGUAGAACACCGAUAGCGAAGGCAGCUCACUAGGCCUGGAUUGACGCUCAGGGACGAAAGCGUGGGUAGCAAACAGG
rnacentral:rRNA from 1 species